CUUAAUUCUUACCGUUCAGUCAUCUUUUAAUAAUACUCCUUGGGGUUCUGAAUUGACUUUUCAGUAUCACCAUUUGCAGACCACUACCUGUUAAAAUCAUUAGCUAUAUUCAGAGAGAGUGAUUUUCAAUGCUGGAAAUAGUUUGAUCAGCAACAGGACUGUGUUUGUCAGAUUUCCUGCCCUGUUACGUUGUAGUGUUGGUCAAAUCUUGAACUUACA